rnacentral:misc_RNA from 1 species
ACCAUAUCCAACGAUGUCGAAGGAAAGAAAAGUUCUUUGGAGGAUGGACGACAGAAAUCACGAGCGAACGAGGCUGGAUUAACCCGGUGGGAAAUGGGAUCAGUGCAAGAGGCUUCGAGCGGAACUGAUUGGGGAGGGUUGCUUCUUCGCCUCGCGGAUAGACAGGAAUCUGAUAGAGAAACAAGAGAUCUCCCUCCUCUAAUCUCUUUAUUGAGACCAAAGUUAGAAAAGUCCGACUUUACCCUUCGCAAAUCGCACGAAGAUCGUCAACGAAGAUCGC